rnacentral:tRNA from 4 species
GCGGUCGUGGCGGAACGGCAGACGCGCUACUUUGAGGGGGUAGUGAACGUAAGUUCGUAUGGGUUCAAGUCCCAUCGACCGCACCA